GGAAAGGCGCGCGAUACAGGGUGACAGCCCCGUACACAAAAAUGCACAUGCUGUGAGCUCGAUGAGUAGGGCGGGACACGUGGUAUCCUGUCUGAAUAUGGGGGGACCAUCCUCCAAGGCUAAAUACUCCUGACUGACCGAUAGUGAACCAGUACCGUGAGGGAAAGGCGAAAAGAACCCCGGCGAGGGGAGUGAAAAAGAACCUGAAACCGUGUACGUACAAGCAGUGGGAGCACGCUUAGGCGUGUGACUGCGUACCUUUUGUAUAAUGGGUCAGCGACUUAUAUUCUGUAGCAAGGUUAACCGAAUAGGGGAGCCGAAGGGAAACCGAGUCUUAACUGGGCGUUAAGUUGCAGGGUAUAGACCCGAAACCCGGUGAUCUAGCCAUGGGCAGGUUGAAGGUUGGGUAACACUAACUGGAGGACCGAACCGACUAAUGUUGAAAAAUUAGCGGAUGACUUGUGGCUGGGGGUGAAAGGCCAAUCAAACCGGGAGAUAGCUGGUUCUCCCCGAAAGCUAUUUAGGUAGCGCCUCGUGAAUUCAUCUCCGGGGGUAGAGCAC
rnacentral:rRNA from 1 species